rnacentral:lncRNA from 1 species
AUGAGGCAAAGCUACUCCUGGACUCCCAACUCACAGAAACUUGCUUGCUGUGGACCAGACACUGGGUUGAACUUAUCCAGUUCCUUCGAGGUUAUCAUCACUCGCUCUGCUCUGGUUUUCAUCGUCGCUAUCAAGGAGUUGGCUGCUCGUCUAACUGUUGAUUCCUUGGAGGUGCCUAGGACUUAAUUAUAACCAAAUGAUCAAACUUCCUCUGAUAAUGUCUUUGAUCUUGCCUUCCAGAAAUCAGACCUAAAAUUAAAAUAAAAAUUUAAAAUAGAUUCCUUUCUCACAUUGAGGUCCUUCAUCCAUUUUGAGUCUAUUUUCGUGUGUAGUGUAAGGAAAUGGUCCAAUUUCAUUUUUCUGCAUGUGGCUGUCCAAUAAGUGACCAUAAGUGACUCUUAAUCUCACAAAACAAACGGAGGGUUGCUGG